rnacentral:lncRNA from 1 species
CUGCUUUUUAUGCUUUGUUCUGCAUUAAAGAUUUGAGGAGAAUCUUUGACUAAACAUACAUAAAUAUCUGGCUUCAAAUAACAACUUUUCUGGACAUUGUUAGAGAAGCCAUUUGACAUAACUACUGGAGAGUAUGACACUACUGGACCUCUGAGAGGUAGCAGUUUGCCGAAGAUGACAGUGAAUUAUAUAGCAAGGUGGCUGAUAUCAUCGGAAGGAGGACCAACCAAAGCAAAGAUGAAACUGUGAGAGCAACCACGGAGCAAGAAAUAAGUGGAAAGGUUUAUGCUGUCUGUGGAUAUGGAUAGCAUAUGUAUAUGACUUUGCAAAAGCAGUUUGCUGAAAGAGGACAUCAUUAGAGAGUGAGGUAAUUGCACUUGUUCUGAGUGUUGAAGUGGUGGGAAAUAUGUAGUUGAU